AUUGAACGCUGGCGGCAUGCUUUAUACAUGCAAGUCGUGCGGCAGCGCGGGGGCAACUCUGGCGGCGAGCGGCGAACGGGUGAGUAAUACAUAGGAACGUAUCCUGAAAUGGGGGAUAGCUCGGCGAAAGCCGGAUUAAUACCGCAUACGCUCCACGGAGGAAAGCAGGGGAUCGCAAGACCUUGCGUUUCUGGAGCGGCCUAUGUCUGAUUAGCUAGNGGUCGGGGUAAUAGCCCACCAAGGCGACGAUCAGUAGCUGGUCUGAGAGGAUGAUCAGCCACACUGGGACUGAGACACGGCCCAGACUCCUACGGGAGGCAGCAGUAGGGAAUUUUGGACAAUGGGGGCAACCCUGAUCCA
rnacentral:rRNA from 1 species